rnacentral:misc_RNA from 1 species
GAUGAAGAACGUAGCGAAGUGCGAUAAGCAAUGCGAAUUGCAGAACCGUGAGUCAUCAGAUUUUUGAACGCAACUGGCGCCGAUUGGAACUCCAACCGGCAUGCUUGUUUCAGUGUCUCUUUUUCUCAUCACCCAAAUCUUAAUGCGAGAGAUACCCUUCUCUUGUCAAGUACGAAAGCACUCUGAGCCCUGCGAGUGGCUUGGCUUCGGUCAAGGCCACACUCAAUGCAGCAGUCACAUUUCACAAUGUGAACUCAUUGAGAGUAGAGUCAGCGCAGUUUACUGCUAGUGCUUAGAGCCUUUAAACUCUUCUUGUAUCUGAAAUCAAGCAGGACCACCCGCUGAACUUAAGCAUAUCAAUAAGCGGAGGA